rnacentral:rRNA from 1 species
UGAGUAACCUGCCCUUCACUCUGGGAUAACUCCGGGAAACCGGGGCUAAUACUGGAUAUGACUCGAACAGGCAUCUGUUUCGGGUGGAAAGAUUUAUUGGUGGAGGAUGGACUCGCGGCCUAUCAGCUUGUUGGUGAGGUAAUGGCUCACCAAGGCGACGACGGGUAGCCGGCCUGAGAGGGCGAUCGGCCACACCGGGACUGAGACACGGCCCAGACUCCUACGGGAGCA